rfam:Nelumbo nucifera unplaced genomic scaffold scaffold00112, whole genome shotgun sequence
ACAUUUAUUUAAAGGCAUCUAAUAAAACUGGCAUCAUACAGAAUAGGUUAGCAUGACCCUACUCAAGGAUGGCAUGCACAAAUUAAGAAAUGGUCCAAAUUAAC